rnacentral:rRNA from 1 species
UACAGAGGGUGCGAGCGUUAAUCGGAAUUACUGGGCGUAAAGCGCGCGUAGGCGGCUUGUUAAGUCGGAUGUGAAAUCCCUGGGCUCAACCUAGGCAUUGCAUUCGAUACUGGCAAGCUAGAGUAUGGGAGAGGAAGGUAGAAUUCCAGGUGUAGCGGUGAAAUGCGUAGAUAUCCGCAGGAACAUCCGAGGCGAAAGCGGCUCGCUGGAUCACAACUGACGCUGAGGGACGAAAGCUAGGGGAGCAAACAGG